rnacentral:misc_RNA from 1 species
GGCCAAUACAAGUCAACUCUAGUGUGUCCUGUGUGUAAUAAAGUCUCAGUAACAUUUGACCCAUUCAUGUAUCUCUCCUUGCCGCUUCAAUCUGCCACAUCCCGUACUAUGACAGUAACAAUUUUCACUUGUGACGGAAGUGCACUGCCAGCUGCCUGUACAGUUACUGUACCAAAGCAGGGACGUUGCAGGGACUUGAUUCAGGCACUUGGUAAUUCUUGUUCCUUGAAGCAAAAUGAGAAACUUAUGCUUGCUGAGAUACGCGGUCAUUUGAUUCAUCGUUUUCUGGAAGAUUCUCUAAUAUCUCUGUCUUCUAUAAAAGAUGAUGAUCAUCUUGCUGCCUACAAGAUGCCAAAAUCAAUAAAGAACUCAAAGUUUCUUCAACUAAUCCACCGCCGGGAAGAACGUGAAAUUGGUAUCUCUCAAAGUAAUGUUGGGUGGAAGCCUUAUGGAACACCUCUUGUUUCACCAAUCUGUUGUGAUGAUGUCACCACAAGGGGCGAUAUACAGUUGAUAGUUCACAGAAUGCUCUCGCCUAUGCUAAGAGCAGAAAAUCCAGGAUUUAAUUGUGUUUCUCGCUCUAAGACAGCAGCAGCAGCAGCAGCCAACGCAUCCCGUUUU